CAGUAGCCGCGGUAAUACGGAGGGUGCGAGCGUUAAUCGGAAUAACUGGGCGUAAAGGGCACGCAGGCGGUGACUUAAGUGAGGUGUGAAAGCCCCGGGCUUAACCUGGGAAUUGCAUUUCAUACUGGGUCGCUAGAGUACUUUAGGGAGGGGUAGAAUUCCACGUGUAGCGAUGAAAUGCGUAGAGAUGUGGAGGAAUACCGAAGGCGAAGGCAGCCCCUUGGGAAUGUACUGACGCUCAUGUGCGAAAGCGUGAGGAGCAAACAGGAUUAGAUACCCCAGUAGUCCCUGUCUCUUAUAA
rnacentral:rRNA from 1 species